rnacentral:lncRNA from 1 species
UUUUGACACGAACAUUUUUCAUUAAAUGAGUAGUAGGAAAAAAAUUAAAGAUCAUUCCAAAAUAUGGAUAAUCUAUGCAACAACUUUGACAACAAUUAUGUCGCGAUCUUAAACCAAGUAAGGUCGGCUAUAUAAUAAAUUUUCAUGAUCAUAUUUCUCUUGCUAUUUUGAUUCAACAUGGAUGAUUAAGAAUUAAGAUUGAAGUUGCAGCUUAAUGAUGCGGGAAAAGUCUGCAUUUUCCUCCCCUUUUCUCUUCUCACUGUGCAUUCGCCCAACUUCCCCCUAAAAGAGUGUGAG